UAGUGCUAUAUUGCUUCCCGAUAGGAUCCGUCUUGACGGCGGAGAAGCCUUGUAACCACAAAUUUUUAGGGGGAAAAACAUUG
rfam:Lactobacillus selangorensis strain DSM 13344 Scaffold1, whole genome shotgun sequence.